rnacentral:rRNA from 1 species
GAUGAACGCUAGCUACAGGCUUAACACAUGCAAGUCGAGGGGCAUCAGGAAGAAAGCUUGCUUUCUUUGCUGGCGACCGGCGCACGGGUGAGUAACACGUAUCCAACCAGCCCUUUACUCGGGGAUAGCCUUUCGAAAGAAAGAUUAAUACCCGAUGGCAUAAUGAUUCCGCAUGGUUUCAUUAUUAAAGGAUUCCGGUAAAGGAUGGGGAUGCGUUCCAUUAGGUUGUUGGUGAGGUAACGGCUCACCAAGCCUUCGAUGGAUAGGGGUUCUGAGAGGAAGGUCCCCCACAUUGGAACUGAGACACGGUCCAAACUCCUACGGGAGGCAGCAGUGAGGAAUAUUGGUCAAUGGGCGGUAGCCUGAACCAGCCAAGUAGCGUGAAGGAUGAAGGCUCUAUGGGUCGUAAACUUCUUUUAUAUAAGAAUAAAGUGCAGUAUGUAUACUGUUUUGUAUGUAUUAUAUGAAUAAGGAUCGGCUAACUCCGUGCCAGCCGCCGCCGUAACAC